rnacentral:rRNA from 1 species
GCGUGCCUAACACAUGCAAGUCGAACGAGAAUCUUUGAACAGAUCUUUUCGGAGUGACGUUCAAAGAGGAAAGUGGCGGACGGGCGAGUAACGCGUGAGUAACCUGCCCAUAAGAGGGGGAUAAUCCAUGGAAACGUGGACUAAUACCGCAUAUUGUAGUUAAGUUGCAUGACUUGAUUAUGAAAGAUUUAUCGCUUAUGGAUGGACUCGCGUCAGAUUAGAUAGUUGGUGAGGUAACGGCUCACCAAGUCAACGAUCUGUAGCCGAACUGAGAGGUUGAUCGGCCGCAUUGGGACUGAGACACGGCCCAGACUCCUACGGGAGGCAGCAGUGGGGAAUAUUGCGCAAUGGGGGCAACCCUGGCGCAGCAACGCCGCGUGCAGGAAGAAGGUCUUCGGAUUGUAAACUGUUGUCGCAAGGGAAGAAGACAGUGACGGUACCUUGUGAGAAAGUCACGGCUAACUACGUGCCAGCAGCCGCGGUAAUACGUAGGUGACAAGCGUUGUCCGGAUUUACUGGGUGUAAAGGGCGCGUAGGCGGACUGUCAAGUCAGUCGUGAAAUACCGGGGCUUAACCCCGGGGCUGCGAUUGAAACUGACAGCCUUGAGUAUCGGAGAGGAAAGCGGAAUUCCUAGUGUAGCGGUGAAAUGCGUAGAUAUUAGGAGGAACACCAGUGGCGAAGGCGGCUUUCUGGACGACAACUGACGCUGAGGCGCGAAAGUGUGGGGAGCAAACAGGAUUAGAUACCCUGGUAGUCCACACCGUAAACGAUGGAUACUAGGUGUAGGAGGUAUCGACCCCUUCUGUGCCGCAGUUAACACAAUAAGUAUCCCACCUGGGGAGUACGACCGCAAGGUUGAAACUCAAAGGAAUUGACGA